GAACAGGAUGUUCGUCUGGAUGUCCAGCAGGAUCUGCCCAUGUUUGAUUAUCUAAAGUGGAAGUUUAACAAACGUAUACACUAAAAUACAGCAACGAAUUGGAAUUUCUUUUUAAAAAAUCUGAGAAACAUUCAACCUAUUAUUGUAAGUAACAAAGCAGAGUUGUGUUUAGUUAAGGAAACUCCUCUCUUCUGCGGAGGAACCUACAGGAAGGAGACAGUGGAACUUACACUACGGAAGACAGAAAUGUUUACGCAAACUUAUUGGUUGUCCAAGUGUCUCCCCCUGCUGGCGUGUCUGUGUAAAUGCUGAAGAUUCUCCUGGUGUCUGUGGGGCUAUUCAUCAUGAUCUCUGCAGUCAUCAACCUCCACAUCAGGGACAUUCUAAAAACAACACUGAUUUAAGCCCACGAGUGACAGAACAAUGUUUAUUGUAUUUUUACCAUUGACAGGGCUUCCCACAGAGGAUAUCAUUUACAAUGAAAUGUGAUGAUAUACAGCAGAAGAUAUAAUCAUGAGAUUAAUAAUUCUGUUCCUUUUUAUGUAACAAUGUACAGUACACAGAAACAGAAGGAUGUUGCCUGCACAUGUAAAUCAGAUUAGGUAAUUUAAAAAGUUUUCAAAAAUA